AGUCUGCAACCCGACUACAUGAAGCUGGAAUCGCUAGUAAUCGCGGAUCAGAAUGCCGCGGUGAAUACGUUCCCGGGUCUUGUACACACCGCCCGUCACACCAUGGGAGUCGGAAAUGCCCGAAGUCUGUGACCCAACCUGAGAGGGAGGGAGCAGCCGAAGGCAGGUCUGAUGACUGGGGUGAAGUCGUAACAAGGUACC
rnacentral:rRNA from 1 species